UUACUCUAUUAGUCCAUGUCCUGUUCCUUGCCCUGGUUUUCAACACGGGAUGGAUUCUACAAUGAGAGUAAGUGUGCAGAGAAGCACCAGCCUGAAGGCUCUUGGCCUCCAUACUCUAUCCCAUAAAAGACUGGGAUCUGUAUUCUGCUGUUUCAGAGAGGUGUUACAACCUCUGUGGCUCUAAUGCUUGCUUAAAGCUGGGUCAGGUAAGACCAACACAAUUUUGAAAGGUUAUUCAGAAGAACAAGUAAACAGAAGGAGAGGGUCACUAAUACUGGGACAUUCAUAGAGCAAGAAUCAGAUUUGUUCUGGCAGAUGGGGAGUUAAAUCCCAGAAUAACAAGCAGAAUCGCAGCCUUCUCAUCUCAGAGAGCAGUCACCAAACACAUAUUUAUUAAAAAAAAAUCAGUUCCAAAUAGAA